GACGAACGCUGGCGGCGUGCUUAACACAUGCAAGUCGAACGGAAAGGCCCUGCUUUUGUGGGGUGCUCGAGUGGCGAACGGGUGAGUAACACGUGAGUAACCUGCCCUUGACUUUGGGAUAACUUCAGGAAACUGGGGCUAAUACCGGAUAGGAGCUCCUGCUGCAUGGUGGGGGUUGGAAAGUUUCGGCGGUUGGGGAUGGACUCGCGGCUUAUCAGCUUGUUGGUGGGGUAGUGGCUUACCAAGGCUUUGACGGGUAGCCGGCCUGAGAGGGUGACCGGCCACAUUGGGACUGAGAUACGGCCCAGACUCCUACGGGAGGCAGCAGUGGGGAAUAUUGCACGAUGGGCGGAAGCCUGAUGCAGCAACGCCGCGUGCGGGAUGACGGCCUUCGGGUUGUAAACCGCUUUCGCCUGUAACGAAGCGUGAGUGACGGUAAUGGGUAAAGAAGCACCGGCUAACUACGUG
rnacentral:rRNA from 1 species